rnacentral:rRNA from 1 species
GAUGAACGCUAGCGACAGGCCUAACACAUGCAAGUCGAGGGGCAGCACGAGGUAGCAAUACUGAGGUGGCGACCGGCGCACGGGUGAGUAACGCGUAUGCAACCUACCCAUUACAGGGGAAUAACUCUCGGAAACGGGAACUAAUGCCGCAUAACACUGCAUUAUCGCAUGAUGAAGCAGUUAAAGAUUUAUUGGUAAUGGAUGGGCAUGCGUGACAUUAGUUAGUUGGUAGGGUAACGGCCUACCAAGACUACGAUGUCUAGGGGUUCUGAGAGGAAGGUCCCCCACACUGGUACUGAGACACGGACCAGACUCCUACGGGAGGCAGCAGUGAGGAAUAUUGGUCAAUGGGCGAGAGCCUGAACCAGCCAAGUCGCGUGCAGGAAGAAGGCCCUAUGGGUUGUAAACUUCUUUUGUACGGGAAAAAACCACCGGUCGAGCAUCGGUGCUGAUGGUACCGUAAGAAUAAGCAUCGGCUAACUCCGUGCCAGCCGCCGCAGUAAUAC